CGUGAUUCACCGACAUCAUGCUGACAGAAAAGGAGAUGCCAUCUGCCUGGCUGCUCACUCGACCCUGCGUCUCCACUAAAUUGCUACAUGGAUGAAGGUGAUAGGAGGUUCUUAGGAAGGCAAGAGCAGGGCGGAGGCUGUGAUGGGUGACUGCAGUGGUGUGUCUUCUCUGAGCUCCUCACACUCCAGCUCCCUUAUGACCGGCAGCACGGCACUCCCAGUCCUGUCACCAGCAGGUUCUGAGUGCUAGGUGGUAGAGGAUGCCGCAGAAUGCCCCAAUCUGGCUGUGAAACCACUCUGCUGGGGGGGGAAAUGGCUUAAACAAGCCAAAGAUUGUUUGCUGGUCUUAGCUGGUUUGAGUUUAGCUGAUCUUCCAGGGUGGCCAAGCAUCAAGCAUCUUAUUUAGCUGGUUCAAUCACCAUGCUGCAGGGGGCUGGUGAGCUGGGCUGAGAGCAGUGCAAGGCUUCAUGCAGGCCCGUGUGGACAGGAGGAGCCACUGCUGGCCUUCAGGACUGGAAAGUAUGCUGCUGUGGCCAGAGUCCCACCUCUCAGCCUGGAAACAGAAGUAGAGUGUCACAUGGGAAAACAAGCACACAGUCAGCUCCACCUGUACACCUUGGUUGACUUUGACUCUUAGAGAGAGGAAGGGAAAAAAAGAAUGAUAGACAGAAGGCAGGAGGAGAAACACAGAGGUGAGAAGAGUGCCCUGGGCUUUGCAAUGGAUAGCUUUCUCCCCACCCUCCUGCUGCAAGCAGCCACCCCCACCCCCAGUGCUGAAACCCGGCCAGCCGCAGCUGUCUGUCCAGAUGUGGGAGAGAGGGAGAGGCAAGGUCCAACAGGGGACGAGGGCCUGAAACAGAAAAGGGCUCCAGAGAGAAGAAAGAAUGGAGAGAAAAAGAACACAAAGAAUCAAGACCAGCAGAGAAAGAGAAAGAUGGAGCGAAAUCAAGGGGAAGUCUGAAUUAUUCCCAGAGUCCUUGAGUGGAAGGUGGAUAACACAUGGAAAGGCCGUAAAUGCAGCAGAUCCCACCACACGCAAGACACGAGAUGCGACCUUUGACGUGCUAGACGCAACCCACAACACUAACGACACAUCGUGCCGCCAGGAAACACCGAGAUAUGGCAGCACAGGCUUGAUGGACGAACCAGACAAAUGCACACACAUGUGAAAAUGGUAACAGCCUGUUCUGCACAGUAAAAUAGAAUGGUUCACCUUCAUUGUUCUGGCCUCUGGACUCUGGCCUUGUUUCCUGACACCUUCCGUUUGGGCUCUCACACAGAUGGCAAUGGAUGUACAGGAACAAGUGCGCCCACUCCCCUCUGUCCACACUCAAGGCAUAGAUGCAUGAGUGUAGCUAAAGAGAGGCAAAUGAUGCUUAGUUGACCUGGGGUGUUUGUUUGAGUGUAAGCAUGGUUGAUGCUGUUAAUGUAACAUUUCCCUCAAGAGGCACCUGUAGCCUGAGCCUCUGGUUGGACAGAUUCCAUGUAUGCCUGCAGAGAGCUGUCUGUAUCAGGCAAUCGGGGAAGGGAGACACUUAUGCAUGUGUUUUUAUGUAAGUUUGUGAGGAGUCGUGGGGGUGUCACUGUCUGACAGGAUGCAUGGUUCUGCUGUCUACGUGUGUGUGCGGCCGGACCUGGGCCAGCAGGUCAGGGCUGGGCAGCCCACAGGAAAUGGCCAAGACAUUCUAGCCAGUGCAGGGGGACUUAACCCUUGAAGUACCAGCCGGGAUGCUCUUGUUAUGUUGCUGGAACUGAGAAUCACGAUUAAAACUGUGUUCAACUGAGUUAGAGUGCAUAGCUGGCAAUACAUGUUGUUCCUGAGUAAGAGGAUCUGUCAGUGUAUUAUGCAAUAGCAUUCUAAAAGCACACACAUUCAUGUAUCAUGAUCACAGGAACAAACACAAGAAAGUCUGCAUAAGAAUGUUUGGUAUUUGCUUUCUAAAUGUAUCCACCCUCCUUGCACUCCUUUGUACCCUGGGUGUGACAGUCCAACCUUUCAAACUAGAAACAAUGACGAGCAGCUUCAUCGUUUAAAGCGCCACCUCUCCACCCACUGCAAUAAUGGGUCCUUCUGCCUGCUCCUCUACAGUUAACUGGCUGCCUCUCUAGAGCGCACAAAGGAAAGGGGGGAGGACCACAGCAUGCCUCUGUGGCCAUGAGGACACUGCGCUCUGGAGUACAGGGACAGGAAGUGACUGUCAGAAUUCCCAGAUGGCGGGGGGGCAACAAGGCAAGGCUGACAUUUUCGGAAGGCCACAGUGCCGCGAUGUGCCAUUGACAGCCUGCAGUGGGAUCUACUAAGCAGGAAGUGGUGGUCUGCAACAGGACACGUUCAUAUUCCUCAGGUCAGAUCAGACUGAUCUCACAGUGAAUUCAUUGACAGUAGGUCGAAAGUUCUUCAGAUGAAAACAGUCUGUGAUUACUGAAAUUUGAACCACUGAAUCAAUGUCCACAGAUUGGCACCAAAGGCAAGUUGUAAAACAAGAUUUAUUAGUAGUAAAUGAUGUAAUAGAGUCAACAGCAUACCAUAUUAAAUUAACCCAAACCCCAAGCCCAAACCUAACCAUCAGUGGAGUAAAAAUUUAAUCUUAGAGGGAAAACACUACCUCUGAAUCACACUCAUCACUGAUUAUGUGAAAGCAAUUAGUUCCUGGUUUCAGUGGGAUCAGAACCCAUGGCACAGUAGCAUCACAGGAAAAGGUAAUAACAUUUGAAUUGUUGAAAAGAUGUCUGAUGGGAGUUGCCACUUCUCAGUAAUUUGCAGGGUUGUCAACUGUCCUGGAUUAGCCGAGAGGGCCAUAUUUUCAGUAAAAUGAAGACAUCCCAUAUGGGAUGUUUCAUGUCCUGUGUUUAAGCGGUUAAAUGUUUGAGGGAGACACCAAAACCCACACCCCCUACAUACACCGAAAUGCUCCCGUAUUUAAGUGCUCAAAAUGCUUAAUCGUCCAGUAUUCGCAUGGCAACAAGUUGGCAACUUUAGUCAUUCGGUAUAAUGGGGUCGAUGUCAGGUCAGGGUACUUGGAACAUGCGGUAGCAGCAUAUUGAGUUCCUGUAUGAUCAUGUUGGUCAGACUGUCUGCCUAAUGUCAUUUUUUAAAUAGGUUGAGCAUUAUUCAUUCUUUGGUUGCUAGCAUCAAGCCCCCCAGCACUUCAGGGCAGACGUCUGCUUAUUCCUGGUGCCACACAGAGGGCAUCACAAUUAAGAGCCCCCAGAUAGCAAACUAAACUUAAGCAGGGCCCAUCCUGUUUUGGGAUUCUGCUGUAACCUUGAGCAUUUUGACUUUUCCUGGAUCUCGACUUGAAAACAGUCAGCUAUUAUCAUUCCAGUGUCUUGUUUGUACCCCACACCAAGAUGUCAGCCAGCCUCUCUGUGCCAGCUCAAAUAAAAUGUUUUGCACUGCAUCUGAUUAACUGAAUGUCUUUGAAUACUGAUUGUUUGUUUCUGAGGGAGAUGUGCAUGAGUGUCAGGGCUG